CUCAGAUAUGGCAUCCAAUUUACUCUCUGUAGGCAAUUAGAGCAGGAACUCCAAGGGUGAUUAGCUGUGAUGGAAGCAGCCAUACUGAAGACAACAAGGGUACAGUGCAACAGGCUCAGCAUCACCCACAGGCAUUAGUAAAUCAUGGUAUCAGAAACAUGGAAAAUCUUCAGUUGGUAAAAACUCACAAGCAGGAAAGCCUGAAUCUCAAGUAAGCUGCAAAAGUGUACUAUUGACAUCAGUGACAAAUUGUUCACCCUUUACUGGUGUCUAUAAAUGCAUAACUGAAGGUUUCAUCUCAUAUCUGGUUUUCAUAAACACACCUCAUAUAUAUUGCAGGUAGACUCAUAAAAUAUCUUAUUUUGAAAGAGGUCAAGUGUGUAUGUGAAGUUUGUGUUAUCCAUAUGUGUUUUUACAAAUCAAGAUAAGACUUAAUCUUCAACCUGUAUUCUGGAAAAUAAGAAUACCUUGAUCUUUAAGAAUCUGGUCUCCAUUAAAUUUUAAAGUGGCAAUAAAUUUCUUUGAAGUACAGAUGUGUUCUAAGUC
rnacentral:lncRNA from 1 species